rnacentral:rRNA from 1 species
GACGAACGCUGGCGGCGUGCUUAACACAUGCAAGUCGAACGGACAGACAGAGAGCUUGCUCUCUUGAAGUUAGUGGCGAACGGGUGAGUAACGCGUAAUUAACCUGCCCUUCAGAGGGGGAUAACAACGGGAAACCGUUGCUAAUACCGCGUACGAUUCAUGAACGGCAUCGUUUAUGAAUGAAAGGUGGCCUCUAUGUAUAAGCUAUCGCGGAAGGAGGGGCUUGGGUCUGGUUAGCUAGUUGUAGGGGUAACGGCCCACCAAGGCAAUGAUCAGUAGCCGGUCUGAGAGGAUGAACGGCCACAUUGGGACUGAGACACGGCCCAAACUCCUACGGGAGGCAGCAGUGGGGAAUCUUCCGCAAUGGACGAAAGUCUGACGGAGCAACGCCGCGUGAGUGAUGAAGGUCUUCGGAUUGUAAAGCUCUGUUAAUCGGGACGAAAGAGUUCUGCGUGAAUAAUGCAGAAAAGUGACGGUACCGGAAUAGAAAGCCACGGCUAACUACGUGCCAGCCGCCGCAGUAA